ensembl:antisense 4933431E20Rik RIKEN cDNA 4933431E20 gene
AAUCCUCCGGUGUGAACUUCUCCCAGGGCUGUUGAUGCUUCAUCUACUCUUCUGGCAGUGGGGGCCUGGACCUUAGUUACCCGGGAAGCGUGAGUCAUGUUGCACAGUUGAGCUGGCACAUAAAACUACGAGUCACACCAGAAGAGGGCAUUGGAUCCCACUAUAGACUGUUGUGAGCCACCUUGUGGUUGCUGGGAAUUGAACUCAGGACCUCUGGAAGAGCAGUUGGUGCUCUUAACUGCUGAGUCAUCUCUCCAGCCCCAGNNNNNNNNNNNNNNNNNNNNNAGCAAUGUGGAAAUGUGUUCUGCCCAGUUUAUAGAACAAGGAAUUGAAGCUUGGAGAAGAUUGAUGGACCACUCAAGUUCCCUGGAUGGUCCAGGAUGCAGACUGAGGAUGGCCUAAAACAUUAGUUUUGCUGGCUCCCUGUGCUUGGCUAACUUUAGAGCCUCUUACCUUGCCACAGUCUUUUCUAUGAAGGACAGAGAGCCAAGGAGUGGACCAACAUGCCUGAGUUUACACAGUGGACCUGAGGACCGUCACCUCCCAGUGCAAUGUUCCUGUGUACUGCCACUGAAGAGACAGGUGGGAGGGAGCUCAAGGUUGACUUGCCUAACAACCAUUGCUUGAAAGACAAAGCUCCCAAGGAGAGCACAAAAUACCUCACUCGAGACUCCUCUGCAUCACCAACCAGUGUGAAGAAAGCCUGCAGCUGUCAGCAGAGUAUUCUUUGUCUCGGUGACACGCUGUGCCUACAGUUGGACU